rnacentral:rRNA from 1 species
CCUACGGGAGGCAGCAGUGGGGAAUAUUGCACAAUGGGGGAAACCCUGAUGCAGCAACGCCGCGUGAGUGAAGAAGUAUUUCGGUAUGUAAAGCUCUAUCAGCAGGGAAGAAAAUGACAGUACCUGACUAAGAAGCCCCGGCUAACUACGUGCCAGCAGCCGCGGUACUACGUAGGGGGCAAGCGUUAUCCGGAUUUACGGGGGGUAAAGGGAGCGUAGACGGCUGCGUAAGUCAGAAGUGAAAGCUCGGGGCUCAACCGCGGGACUGCUUUUGAAACUGUGUAGCUAGAGUGCAGGAGAGGUAAGUGGAAUUCCUGGUGUAGCGGUGAAAUGCGUAGAUAUUAGGAGGAACACCGGUGGCGAAGGCGGCUUACUGGACUGUAACUGACGUUGAGGCUCGAAAGCGUGGGGAGCAAACAGGAUUAGAUACCCCUGUAGUC